rnacentral:rRNA from 1 species
UACAGAGGUCUCAAGCGUUGUUCGGAUUCAUUGGGCGUAAAGGGUGCGUAGGUGGCGUGGUAAGUCGGGUGUGAAAUUUCGGAGCUUAACUCCGAAACUGCAUUCGAUACUGCCGUGCUUGAGGACUGGAGAGGAGACUGGAAUUUACGGUGUAGCAGUGAAAUGCGUAGAUAUCGUAAGGAAGACCAGUGGCGAAGGCGGGUCUCUGGACAGUUCCUGACGCUGAGGCACGAAGGUCAGGGGAGCAAACGGG